rnacentral:tRNA from 1 species
CAUUGAGAAGCUAACCAGCACUAACCUUUUAAGUUAGAGAUUGGGGGCUUAAGUCCUCCCUCAAUGA